rnacentral:rRNA from 1 species
UACGUAGGGUGCAAGCGUUAAUCGGAAUUACUGGGCAUAAAGCGUGCGCAGGCGGCUAUGCAAGACAGAUGUGAAAUCCCCGGGCUCAACCUGGGAACUGCAUUUGUGACUGCAUGGGCUAGAGUACGGUAGAGGGGGAUGGAAUUCCGCGUGUAGCAGUGAAAUGCGUAGAUAUGCGGAGGAACACCGAUGGCGAAGGCAAUCCCCUGGACCUGUACUGACGCUCAUGCACGAAAGCGUGGG